rnacentral:rRNA from 1 species
UACAGAGGUCUCAAGCGUUGUUCGGAAUCACUGGGCGUAAAGCGCACGUAGGCGGAUUGCUAAGUCAGGGGGUGAAAUCCUGGAGCUCAACUCCAGAACUGCCUUUGAUACUGGCGAUCUCGAGUCCGGGGAGAGGUGAGUGGGAAACUGCGAGUGUAGAGGUGAAAAUUCGUAGAUAUUCGGAAAGAACACCAGUGGCGAAGGGCGAACUCACUGGCCCCGAUACUGACGCUGAGACGCGAAAAGCGUGGGGGAGCGAAGAGGA